rnacentral:rRNA from 1 species
CUACGUGCCAGCAGCCGCGGUAAUACGGAAGGUCCGGGCGUUAUCCGGAUUUAUUGGGUUUAAAGGGAGCGUAGGCUGGAGAUUAAGUGUGUUGUGAAAUGUAGACGCUCAACGUCUGACUUGCAGCGCAUACUGGUUUCCUUGAGUACGCACAACGUUGGCGGAAUUCGUCGUGUAGCGGUGAAAUGCUUAGAUAUGACGAAGAACUCCGAUUGCGAAGGCAGCUGACGGGAGCGCAACUGACGCUGAAGCUCGAAGGUGCGGGUAUCGAACAGGAUUAGAUACCCUGGUAGUCCGCMCAGUAAACGAUGGAUGCCCGCUGUUGGUACCUGGUAUCAGCGGCUAAGCGAAAGCAUUAAGCAUCCCACCUGGGGAGUACGCCGGCAACGGUGAAACUCAAAGGAAUUGACGGGGGCCCGCACAAGCGGAGGAACAUGUGGUUUAAUUCGAUGAUACGCGAGGAACCUUACCCGGGCUUGAA